rnacentral:rRNA from 1 species
UGGCGGACGGGUGAGUAACGCGUAGGUGACCUGCCCCGAAGUGGGGAAUAACUGCCCGAAAGGGUGGCUAAUACCGCAUGUGGUGGUGUGUUCGAUCACACCACUAAAGCCGCAAGGCGCUUCGGGAGGGGCCUGCGUCCGAUUAGCUCGUUGGUGGGGUAACGGCUCACCAAGGCGACGAUCGGUAGGUGGUCUGAGAGGACGAUCACCCACACUGGGACUGAGACACGGCCCAGACUCCUACGGGAGGCAGCAGUGGGGAAUUUUGGACAAUGGGCGCAAGCCUGAUCCAGCAAUGCCGCGUGAGUGAAGAAGGCCUUCGGGUUGUAAAGCUCUUUUGUCAGGGAAGAAACGGCUCCGGUUAAUACCUGGGGCUAAUGACGGUACCUGAAGAAUAAGCACCGGCUAACUACGUGCCAGCAGCCGCGGUAAUACG